rnacentral:misc_RNA from 1 species
UUUUGUGCUAAAAUCUUGGUUCAUUUGAGUCUGUUAUUUGAAGAUACGACGGAUUGAACAUCCUAUAUAUCCUCUCAGCUAAAUAUCAUUAUCAUCAUCUCUUUCCAUUUUGGUUCUGAAGGGUGUGCUCCUUUUCUGUACUUCUAUCAAAUUGUUUAGAGAUAACAAGUUUAUGAUGGAAACUCAACUCAAAACUUGCAACAUUUGAGUUGAUACUGCAAAACAGACUUGUGGGAUUGAAUUUUGGCAGUAAAAUGGGA